rnacentral:rRNA from 1 species
AACGAACGCUGGCGGCAUGCCUAACACAUGCAAGUCGAACGAGACCUUCGGGUCUAGUGGCGCACGGGUGCGUAACGCGUGGGAACCUGCCCUUAGGUUCGGAAUAACUCCCCGAAAGGGGUGCUAAUACCGGAUAAUGUCUUCGGACCAAAGAUUUAUCGCCUUUGGAUGGGCCCGCGUUGGAUUAGCUAGUUGGUAGGGUAAAAGCCUACCAAGGCGACGAUCCAUAGCUGGUCUGAGAGGAUGAUCAGCCACACUGGGACUGAGACACGGCCCAGACUCCUACGGGAGGCAGCAGUGGGAAAUAUUGGACGAGGGGCGAAAGCUGGAUCCAGCAAUGCCGGGGGAGGGAGGAAGGCUUGGGGGUUGAAAAGCUUUUUUCCCCGGGAGGAUAAUGACAUUACGGGGAAAAUAAGCCCCGCCAAACUCCGUG